AGUGCAAGAAGUUACUACACCACCAGCAUUACUUGCUGAAAGCACUGAGGCAGCGCGUGGAAGUGACCAAUUUGAAAUUACAGCAAUUCAAAAUAUUGAAUUCAUCAUUACCGAUGAUGAAAAUGCAAUUAGUACAAAUGUGGUUGAUGCUGCCAAUGGAGAAGAUUCUCAACCACAUGAACAA